AGCUGGGGCUCAGUAGUUAAGUGACCUGGAUUCAAUCCCUGGUAGCAAAAAACAAACAACAAACCAAGGUCAGCAAAUGCUUUAAUCUGGUGUUUGUUUUUUUGCACACCCCAGACUUUCUAGACACCCUGCCUUUGGAGCUCAGCCCACUUCUCCUGGUAGAGGUACCUGCAACACAGGGAUCAAGCCGUCCAGCUCAGGAGACUCUGUGAAGAUGACAUGGGACUCCAGAAGCGAUGUGCCUGGCCAAGGAACCUAACAGAGAAGGCCAAGUCGGGGGAAAAUGCCAAGAUCAGGAGAUGUGUCCCUUCUGCCUUGUGAGGAGGAAAAUGGGGUCUCAUCCAAGGUCAGCAGCCAGGAAGUCCCAGCUCCAAAACCAGAGAGCUGAAAACCAACAACCGCCAUUUCCACUCUGUCCCUGAGAGCCGAGUCCAGGGAAGAAGAGGACAACUGGCUCCAGUCCCCUGUGGCCUGCGCCUUCGUCACCAAGGACACAAACACCAGAGGGGCGUCCUGAGUCACCACAGGUGGGGUGCAAUACCAUAAUGCCCCGAAGUCACAUCUGUUGGGCGGUUUUCUAAUUCACAGUGAUUCAGACUGGCAGGCAGGGCGUCCAGGUAAUGAGGAAGGGAACCGAGGAAUGUCUUGGGAGCGUGUGUCCUCCUUCAGGUGGGGAGACCAGGGCCUGAGCAGCUGCCACUGGCUGAAGUUACUUAGCUCCUGGGGAGUCCAACAAGGGCACUGGCCUCUGGCUCUCCAUCCAAUGCACUUGGACCCCACUGAGAGGCCUAACUGAAAAUGACCCAGCGCUGCUCUUUGUAAUCUUGGCAGUGAGGCUGUGAGCACUCCAGACCUAUGCGUGAGCCUUCCACCGACACACUGUGCGGGACUCCCCCUCCGCCGUCUACCUGUACAGGAAGCACCUUGGCUCAUCGGGAGGGACGCACUUUCUCCUUCUUCUGUUCUGGUGAGGUUCAGACCUCUAUGCCUGCAGCAAAGCUUGCUGAGAGACGGACAGGGUUUACACUCCUGGGUCCUUCACUGGUAGGAUAAGACAGGUCCAUGGAACUCAGCUGCUGGACGUUAGGACCGUGCAAAUGGCCACACUGGUAUUCCAGAUCACCACUGGCUGUCCUUAAGCUACCAACUCAAGGUCCUCGACUCCAGUUCUUCUUACCCAUCUUAUUAUUGCAUCCGUUGACGUAAUGAACAUUUAAAACCCCUUUAAGUCAGGCAUGGAGCCUCUAGUCCCAGCUACUAGGCAGGUGGAGGCAGGCAGAUUGCUUGAGCCCAAGAAUUCAACACCAGCCUGGACAGCACAGCAAGACCCUGUUUCACCAGACAGACAGACAAAACGAAAAUCCUCUUAAGGGAACUUUUUGUUUGGUUCCAUUUACUGACAGAGUGAACUGAACUUCUUUAAAAUUAUGUUUCUACCACCGGGCACAGGGGCACACACUGUAAUCCCAGCAGCUCGGGAGGCUGAGGCAGGAGGAUCGUGAGUUCAAAGCCAGCCUCAGAAACUUAGUGACGGGCCACACUUCCUAAGGACAUCCCACUGAAGAGAGGUUCUCUGCUGGCUCUGUGUGGCUCUCCUGUAGGGAUCUCAAAUUAAAUAGGUCCCAAGUGGGAUCCACAUGAACAAGCUCCCUGGCAUUCAGAUUUAACUGGUGUUCUGCGUUUGUAUUGAUUAAAAGGAGGCAAUUCUUCCCAUAGGUCACCCUUUCGUUGGUCCUGCAAAGGAUGUCCUGAUGGCACAUAGCCUUAGUUAACAGCCACGACUACCUUCUGUCUGUCUCCAAGGUCAAGAUCUUAGGUUCUUCAAUGAGCUACUCUCCCUCACCCUCAUUUUUCAUAUGUAUCUGAUAGGAUUUAUCUCUGUAAUACUUUAUUUUAAAAAUCCUACAUUUUGUUCAUUUUUUUAAACAAAAAAUUCCUCUUCUCACUACCAAAACAAAACAAAACUAACAGUUUCUCCCCUCAGAAAACCAAGGGACAUAUACUUAUCCUCCCCCACCCACAAACAGUACACUUGAUCACAUCCCUCGCUCUUGACCUGGCUGUGGCUCUGCCCUUUCUGAUGUCCGUCAGCACACCCGCUCCACACACCGGCUCCAGGAGGGCAGAGGACGGUGGGGCUCCCACCCACGGCUCAUGUACGCCCCGCCCAGGCCCAGGGCCCUGAACACACCAGAACUCAAUGCAUACUUGCUGCAAUAACUGAGUGAGUACAGAUUCAGCAAGGAGAAGGGACGAAAAGAGAAAGCACAUCUGCUAGUGGAAGGUGAGGCUGAAGGAGGAGGCUUGGGGGGAAGCCCAGCGUUCUCUUGCUGCAGUCAGCCCUGUGUCCAUGGCUUCCCGUGGAUCAAAAUACUCAAGAAAAAAAAUGGCAUCAGUGCUGGACACACAUGAACUUCCCUCUCGUGGUCAUCCCUAAAUGAUGCAGAAUAAAACUCUUUGUGUUAUGAGUCAUCUAGAGAUGAUUGAAAGUACACAGAGACGUGAGCAGGGGCUGUGCAGUAUUACACCAUUGCAUAUAGGGGACUGGAGAUCAGGGAUGUCGCUGUCUCCGGAGGGUUCUGAAACGCAUCCCCUAUGAAUACUGAGGGAUGACUCUACAGAUGGGCCACAUAACCAUCCCACACGUACGGAAGGAAGAUUUGUCUCCUCCCAAUGACCGGCCUCCAUCCCUGCUUCCCAAAUCUCUAAUCACCUCCCUAAGUCAAGGACCAGCACUGUGGGGUCCACACCAGGGUCUGGGACCCUCACUUCCUUUGAGAGAGAGGAGCGCGUGCUGACCUGGC